CCUUGCCAGCCCGCUCAGAAACUUAAAGGAAUUGACGGGGCCCGCACAAGCGGUGGAGCAUGUGGUUUAAUUCGAUGAUACGCGAGGAACCUUACCUGGGCUCAAAUGUAUGUUGACGUAUUCUGAAAGGGAUACUUCUUCGGACAAUAUACAAGGUGCUGCAUGGUUGUCGUCAGCUCGUGCCGUGAGGUGUCGGGUUAAGUCCCGCAACGAGCGCAACCCCUAUUGCCAGUUGCUACCAGGUAAUGCUGGGCACUCUGGUGAGACUGCCCCGGUUAACGGGGAGGAAGGUGGGGACGACGUCAAGUCAUCAUGGCCCUUACGCCUAGGGCUACACACGUACUACAAUGGCGCAUACAAAGGGCAGCGAUACCGCGAGGUGGAGCCAAUCCCAAAAAGUGCGUCCCAGUCCGGAUUGCAGUCUGCAACUCGACUGCAUGAAGUUGGAAUCGCUAGUAAUUCGAGAUCAGCAUGCUCGGGUGAAUGCGUUCCCGGGGCUU
rnacentral:rRNA from 1 species